GGCCUAACACAUGCAAGUCGAACGAUGAUCCCAGCUUGCUGGGGGAUUAGUGGCGAACGGGUGAGUAACACGUGAGUAACCUGCCCUUAACUCUGGGAUAAGCCUGGGAAACUGGGUCUAAUACCGGAUAUGACUCCUCAUCGCAUGGUGGGGGGUGGAAAGCUUUAUUGUGGUUUUGGAUGGAUCCGCGGCCUAUCAGCUUGUUGGUGAGGUAAUGGCUCACCAAGGCGACGACGGGUAGCCGGCCUGAGAGGGUGACCGGCCACACUGGGAUUGAGACACGGCCCAGACUCCUACGGGAGGCAGCAGGUGGGGGAAUAUUGCACAAUGGGCGAAAGCCUGAUGCAAGCGACGCCGCGUAGGGAUGACGGCCUUCGGGUUGUAAACUUCUUUCAGUAGGGAAGAAGCGAAAGUGCCGGUACCUGCAGAAGAAGCGCCGGCUAACUACGUGCCAGCAGCCGCGGUAAUACGUAGGGCGCAAGCGUUAUCCGGAAUUAUUGGGCGUAAAGAGCUCGUAGGCGGUUUGUCGCGUCUGCCGUGAAAGUCCGGGGCUCAACUCCGGAUCUGCGGUGGGUACGGGCAGACUAGAGUGAUGUAGGGGAGACUGGAAUUCCUGGUGUAGCGGUGAAAUGCGCAGAUAUCAGGAGGAACACCGAUGGCGAAGGCAGGUCUCUGGGCAUUAACUGACGCUGAGGAGCGAAAGCAUGGGGAGCGAACAGGAUUAGAUACCCUGGUAGUCCAUGCCGUAAACGUUGGGCACUAGGUGUGGGGGACAUUCCACGUUUUCCGCGCCGUAGCUAACGCAUUAAGUGCCCCGCCUGGGGAGUACGGCCGCAAGGCUAAAACUCAAAGGAAUUGACGGGGGCCCGCACAAGCGGCGGAGCAUGCGGAUUAAUUCGAUGCAACGCGAAGAACCUUACCAAGGCUUGACAUGAACCGCAAACACCUGGAAACAGGUGCCCCGCUUGCGGUCGGUUUACAGGUGGUGCAUGGUUGUCGUCAGCUCGUGUCNUGAGAUGUUGGGUUAAGU
rnacentral:rRNA from 1 species